GAUUAACGCUAGCGGCAGGCCUAAUACAUGCAAGUCGAGGGGCAGCAGGGUGUAGCAAUACAUCGCUGGCGACCGGCGCACGGGUGCGUAACACGUAUGCAACCUACCUUUAACUGGGGAAUAGCCCUCCGAAAGGAGGAUUAACACCGCAUAACAUCACGAGACGGCAUCGCCUUGUGAUCAAACCUCCGGGGGUUAAAGAUGGGCAUGCGUCCGAUUAGCUAGUUGGCGGGGUAACGGCCCACCAAGGCGACGAUCGGUAGGGGGUCUGAGAGGAUGAUCCCCCACACUGGUACUGAGACACGGACCAGACUCCUACGGGAGGCAGCAGUAAGGAAUAUUGGACAAUGGUCGCAAGACUGAUCCAGCCAUGCCGCGUGCAGGAUGAACGAUCUAUGAUCUGUAAACUGCUUUUGUUCGGGAAUAAACCCCUU
rnacentral:rRNA from 1 species